UACGAAGGGGGCUAGCGUUGCUCGGAAUUACUGGGCGUAAAGCGCACGUAGGCGGCUUGUUAAGUCAGGGGUGAAAUCCUGGAGCUCAACUCCAGAACUGCCUUUGAUACUGGCGAGCUUGAGUUCGGGAGAGGUGAGUGGAACUGCGAGUGUAGAGGUGAAAUUCGUAGAUAUUCGCAAGAACACCAGUGGCGAAGGCGGCUCACUGGCCCGAUACUGACGCUGAGGUGCGAAAGCGUGGGGAGCAAACA
rnacentral:rRNA from 1 species